UCAUUCAGUUGGGCGACUCUAGCGAGACUGCCGGUAAUAAACCGGAGGAAGGUGGGGAUGACGUCAAAUCAUCAUGCCCCUUAUGACCUGGGCUACACACGUGCUACAAUGGUUGGUACAACGAGUUGCGAGUCGGUGACGGCGAGCUAAUCUCUUAAAGCCAAUCUCAGUUCGGAUUGUAGGCUGCAACUCGCCUACAUGAAGUCGGAAUCGCUAGUAAUCGCGGAUCAGCACGCCGCGGUGAAUACGUUCCCGGGCCUU
rnacentral:rRNA from 1 species